rnacentral:rRNA from 1 species
UGGGGAAUAUUGCACAAUGGGGGAAACCCUGAUGCAGCGACGCCGCGUGGAGGAUGACGGCCUUCGGGUUGUAAACUCCUUUUGUCAGGGACAAUGGUGAUGGUACCUGACGAAUAAGCCACGGCUAACUCUGUGCCAGCAGCCGCGGUAAGACAGAGGUGGCGAGCGUUGUUCGGAAUUCCUGGGCUUAAAGGGCGCGUGGGCGGUGGUGUAAGUCUGGGGUGGAAUGCUACAGUUCAACUGUAGAGCGGCCUUGGAAACUGCAUUACUUGAGUCGGUGAGGGGAAGGCGGAAUUCCUGGUGUAGCGGUGAAAUGCGUAGAUAUCAGGAGGAAGGUCUGUGGCGAAGGCGGCCUUCUGGCACUUGACUGACGCUGAGGCGCGAAAGCGUGGGGAGCAAACAG